rnacentral:rRNA from 1 species
UACGUAGGGUGCAAGCGUUGUCCGGAAUUAUUGGGCGUAAAGAGCUCGUAGGCGGUUUGUCGCGUCUGCUGUGAAAAUCCAGGGCUUAACCCUGGACCUGCAGUGGGUACGGGCAGACUGGAGUGCGGUAGGGGAGAUCGGAAUUCCUGGUGUAGCGGUGAAAUGCGCAGAUAUCAGGAGGAACACCGGUGGCGAAGGCGGGUCUCUGGGCCGAUACUGACGCUGAGGAGCGAAAGCCAGGGGAGCGAACGGG